AUGUACAUUCCUAUAGUUUUAAUGCAUUGGAUCCCAUCAGAACUUUGUACUUAAGUGUGCUUGGGAUAAAGUAAUACUGGGAUGAGUGACCUCCCUAGAAGUACAAUUGUUUUACAUG
rnacentral:rRNA from 1 species